rnacentral:rRNA from 1 species
CGGACGGGUGAGUAAUGCUUAGGAAUCUGCCCAAUAGUGGGGGACAACUCGAGGAAACUCGAGCUAAUACCGCAUACGCCCUACGGGGGAAAGCAGGGGAUCUUCGGACCUUGCGCUAUUGGAUGAGCCUAAGUCGGAUUAGCUUGUUGGUGAGGUAAAGGCUCACCAAGGCGACGAUCCGUAGCUGGUCUGAGAGGACGAUCAGCCACACUGGGACUGAGACACGGCCCAG